GUUGGGUUAAGUCCCGCAACGAGCGCAACCCUUGCCAUUAGUUGCCAAUAUUAAGUUAGGAACUCUAAUGGGACUGCCGUAGAUAAUACGGAGGAAGGUGGGGAUGACGUCAAAUCAUCAUGCCUCUUACGUCUUGGGCUACAAACGUGCUACAAUGGUAGAUACAAAGAGAUGCAAACCAGUAAUGGGGAGCCAACCUCAAAAAGUCUAUCCCAGUUCGGAUUGUGGGCUGCAACCCGCCCACAUGAAGCCGGAGUUGCUAGUAAUCCCAAAUCAGCAUGUUGGGGUGAAUGCGUUCCCGGGUCUUGUACACACCGCCUGUCACGCCAUGGGAGUUGGGGGGACCCAAAGUCGGUGAGCUAACCAGUAAUGGAGGCAGCCGCCUAAGGUAAAACCAAUGACUGGGGUGAAGUCAUAACAAGGUAGCGGUAUCGGAAGGUGCCGCUGGAUCACCUCCUUU
rnacentral:rRNA from 1 species